CAUGAUACAUGUAAAUCGAGCGAGAACAGGAGAAGCUNGCUUCUCGCUGACGAGCGGCGGACGGGCGAGUAAUACUUAGGAAUCUACCUAGUAGAGGGGGAUAGCUCGGGGAAACUCGAAUUAAUACCGCAUACGACCUACGGGAGAAAGGGGGCAACUUGUUGCUCUCGCUAUUAGAUGAGCCUAAGUCGGAUUAGCUAGAUGGUGGGGUAAAGGCCUACCAUGGCGACGAUCUGUAGCUGGUCUGAGAGGAUGAUCAGCCACACCGGGACUGAGACACGGCCCGGACUCCUACGGGAGGCAGCAGGGGGGAAUAUUGGACAAUGGGGGCAACCCUGAUCCAGCCAUGCCGCGUGUGUGAAGAAGGCCUUUUGGUUGUAAAGCACUUUAAGCAGUGGAGAAGACUCCAUGGAUAAUACCCAUGGACGAUGACAUUAGCUGCAGAAUAAGCACCGGCUAACUCUGUGCCAGCAGCCGCGGUAAUACAGAGGGUGCAAGCGUUAAUCGGAAUUACUGGGCGUAAAGCGAGCGUAGGUGGCUUGAUAAGUCAGAUGUGAAAGCCCCGGGCUUAACCUGGGAACGGCAUCUGAUACUGUUAGGCUAGAGUAGGUGAGAGGAA
rnacentral:rRNA from 1 species